CUGACAUGUGGGGCUUGGGACUAGUUGCUCACUGCUCCCCAUCCUCCCUGUUCCACCUUGGAGCUUGGCCCUAACACAGGGGUUGGCAGUGGGACGGAACUGGCUGGCUCUGUCAUCUGGACUCCAUAGCAUCAUUUCACUUCCGGCCGCAUCACCCUCCUUGUGGAAUAUGGCCUUGAGGUUGCACGUUGGUAAUCCCUCCUGCUUAAUGACAGUGUGCCAUGGGUAAAGCUCAUUUCUCCUUUCCUGCAGCAAUAACACAACAAUUACUGCAAUGAUGUCACCACUAUCUCUUAUAGCCAUCAUUUCAUAAAGAUGGAGUCUUGCUUUGUCAUCCAGGCUGGAGUGUAAUGAUGGAAUCUCGGCUCACUGCAACCUCUGCCUCCCAGGUUCAAGCGAUUACCAGGCCUCAGCCUCCUGAGUAGCUGGGGUUACAGUUAAGAGAACUGGAGACACAAAAAAGCUAAGUGAAUUAUGCAAAGCCACCCAGCUAGAAGUGACUUUCUUCAGAGGAAGUUCUUGGAAUUCCUGUGCCACCAUAAGAGUUACUCACCUGCUGGAUUUUUAUGAGAAGAUGUGACUUGGUCCUUGCCUUCCGCCAUGAAUGUGACGCCUCCCAGCCCUGUGGAACUAUAUGGAAACUGAGGCCUUGAAAGGACAAACAAUUUUUUGAAAGUCACACAGCUAGUAAGAGAUGGAAAUAGGAGUUGAACACAAGUUUGCUGAGUCUGUUCACUUCAGGCACUGUUUAGGCACUGGAGAUACACAGGUGAACAUUCUGCCCAGCUCAAGUUCUCUCUUUGCAACUCACCAGUGAAACUCUUCUUUCCUUAGGUUUGCCCCCUGCCCUACUAGCAGGAUUUCUGAGUACUGAGAUAUUCUGUUUAUUAACCCACUCACUUGUUC
rnacentral:lncRNA from 10 species